GGGUGAGUAACACGUGGGUAACCUGCCCUGAUGAUCGGGACAACCCGAGGAAACUCGGGCUAAUACCGAAUGUGCUCUUGAACCGCAAGGUUCUCGAGGAAAGGAAGCUUCGGCCUCCGCAUCGGGAUGGGCCCGCGGCCCAUUAGCUUGUUGGUGGGGUAACGGCCUACCAAGGCUUCGAUGGGUAGCUGGUCUGAGAGGACGAUCAGCCACACUGGGACUGAGACACGGCCCAG
rnacentral:rRNA from 1 species